rnacentral:rRNA from 1 species
UACGUAGGGCGCGAGCGUUGUCCGGAAUUAUUGGGCGUAAAGAGCUCGUAGGUGGCUUGUUGCGUCUGCCGUGAAAGCCCGUGGCUUAACUACGGGUCUGCGGUGGAUACGGGCAGGCUAGAGGCUGGUAGGGGCAAGCGGAAUUCCUGGUGUAGCGGUGAAAUGCGCAGAUAUCAGGAGGAACACUGGUGGCGAAGGCGGCUUGCUGGGCCAGUUCUGACGCUGAGGAGCGAAAGCGUGGGGAGCGAACAGG